GAGAGAGAGAGAGAGAGAGAGAGAGAGAGAGAGAGAGAGAGAGAGAGAGAGAGAGAGUGUGUGGUUUUUCAGCACAAAAGGCCUUCUGGAUUCUCACUCCAUUGUAACAGGCUGAACGUAAUACGUUGAAUUCUGGAGAAUAUGCAAUUGGAUGGAGCAGCAAAGACCAAGCAAGUGUGAUACUUCUGUAUUAUGACCCUGAGUUAAUGAAGGCAGGUUCAAGCCUUCAAGAAGACCAGGAGACUUGGCUAAGCUGAAGCUCUGCGCUUUCAAGUCUACAAGAUGAUGAUAUAGCAUAAAUCCUUAGAAUCUGUAUUUAUUGGCACGUAUGUGAGAUGUGGUCAGAGUAGCAAAACCUGCGUUAUUUCAGUCUUUUUCCUAAAGCAGUGUGCAAAUGUUAUAAACAGUUCUGAUUUCUGAUCCUUUUUGUCAAAAGGCUAAAGCCAACAACAUGGCCUUCCUUAUUUGGGGGAUGCAAGUUCCAUAAGUUUUGACGCAAUCUACGCGUCCUAUGUUCUGUCA